AAUUUUUUAAUAUUUAUUUUUUACUUUUCUGUGGACACAACAUCUUUAAUUUAUUUUUAUGUGGUGCUGAGGAUCGAACCCAGCGCUCCGCACAUGCCAGGCGAGCACACUACCGCUUGAGCCACAUCUCCAGCCACCAUAUACAUUUUUAAAAUAAGGAAAUAUCCUCAAAGAAAUGGCAUGUCUGAGCUGCAUGUCAGUCAGAACUGGCAUGAGAACCUGGCUUCUCUGCUGAGGCCAGAGUCCUGUCCGCCCCCACAACAGGCCUCUAUAGGUAAGGAAGUACCCCACGGCGGGUAGCUGGUGACAACCAAGUUACCUCUCCAGUUCUGGGGGCCACAAGUCCACCACCAAGGUAUGGGCAGGCCACGCUUCCUCUGGAGGCUCUAGGGGUGGCUCACGUGGCGCUCUAGCUCUGCAAGCCUGUACCCAAACCCUCUGGAGAACCGUCACUGACCUUUUCUGGUGGAGGGGGUUACUGGGAACUGAACCAGGGGUUGCUCUACCACUGAGCCAGACCCCACCCUUUUUAUUUUUUAUUUUGUGUCAGGUCUAAGUUGCCCAGGCUGGCCUUGAACAUUUGAUCCUCCUGCCUCAGAGGCCUGAGCAGCUGGGAUUGCAGGCCACUGAGCCAGGCUUAUUGACCUCAUUUUAACUUGACCUCUCUGAGGGCCCUAUUUGUAAAUAAAGCACAUUCUGAGGCACAGGAGUGGGGACUCUGAUGUAUCUUUCUUAUGGAGGACAUAAUUCAACCUAUAACAGGGAAAUGCAGGCCUGAAAUGCUAAUAAGAACUUAAGUUACCCAGAAGGGAGAGAGACUUUCUGACCCUUUUAUUACAGACCAGAUCUCAGAACCCAAGGAGAUAAGGAUAAUUCCUCCUAACCAUAAAAUCUGUAAGAAUUAGAACUGGUCAGCAUGGGCCACAGUGACUUAGAGUUGUCAUGGCCAUGGGGACUCUAAAGUCUGAUCUCAUCCUGCUGUCAAUCAAAAGUCCAGAGGUGGACCUGGGCAGGACUCCCUGGAAACUUCCCUGGGACCCCCAAUAAUCACGGAUUGCAGGGAUGGGGCUGGGGCUCAGAGGCAGAGCACUUGCCUGGCAUGUGCGAGGCACUGGGUUCAAUUCUCAGCACCACGUAUCAAUAAAUAAAAUAAAGGUCCACUGACAACUAAAAAAAUAUUUUUAAAAAAAUGGAGUGCAGGAGGGGCAUGCUACCCUCUCCUUCCUGAGAGGACCCACUCUCUCCCUUGAUGGAGCCCCUUUCCCUUUUCCUUUCCUUCUAAUAAACUCGCGCCUGCUACUUUGAGCGACAUGCCUGACAUCUUUCAGGAAUGACGGCCAGUGUCGGGUGGUGAGGGGUCUCCACCUGCCUCGGGUCAUCUGCUGACACCUCGUGAGACGAUGCAGGCCGGGAGCCUUGCGCGAGGUGAUGGCUGUUCAUAGUGAGCUCAAGUUCAGAAGCGCCAUUGUGUGUUUGAGCUAAAGAUCGCACCUCCAGGUGUCUUAACCAUGACUCAUGUCCUUGGAGUGCAUACAUUUUAUAAACAGGAGCAACGGUCGUUGUGUGCAUGGGGACCUACAAUAAAGCAGUACUUGGUGGUCACGCAGCCCAUCAGGGUCUCUGGGUGCUCCUUCACAUGAGGACAGCAGCUCUGCCCACCUAGGGGCCAGGUCUGGGUAGGUGGAUCCCGGAGAGCCCCAGGGCACCUCAGGCCCUCUUGACACUGCCCCUGGGAUUCGUGGCAUCUGGGUUAAUCGGUGGGUGGGAGACGGCUGGUUCCAGCAGAAGGAAGGCGCUUGGUCAGUGGUUCUGCUGAGGCCACAGGGGUGACGUGUCUCCACCUGGGGAUACAGUGCCCGUCCGUACUGCGUCCUGUCUUCUGCUUGGCUCCAGCAGCCUUGUUUUCCUGGUUUCUCCUCAUUUGGGAUGGGAAAGGGCAAAGGUUGGGGUGGGUGGAAGCAAAACAGGAAGAGAAGGGGACAGGGUGGCCUGUCAGCCAGCAGCCAGGGUCCCACGCGGACACAGGAGCAGAGGUCUCGCUGUCAAGUUCAUGGCCUGAGGUGAGUGCAUCAGGGGCUGCCUGGGGACGGCCACGGGCUCUGAGGACAGCUGGCACUCUGAGAGUCUUCACCGCAGAACAGGCCAGGUGAAUUCCCUCGCCCACGCUGGGCCAUUUGCCCCAGGCUUGCUCAGGGCUCACUGUGGGCCGGGCAGGCCAGAGGGAGCCGCUGGCUUUCCUCGAGGUUGUUUUUCCAGGUCAAGAUGCACAUCCUGGGAAGACGGUCCUCCGGCCACCCUUGUGCUCUGCCCAUCUGUGCCAGGCCCUCCGUAAUGCCCAGCACCUCAGCGCGCCACUUGUCACUCGAUGCUGUCUCAGUGCCUCCUGCCCACCUGCAGGACCCUGCAGCACGCCCAGGGCCCGACCUUCACCUUCUCCCCAGGAGGCUGCCCUUUGCAAACCUGGUCCCAGUCCUCACGCUUGACCUUCACCCUGGUGACUUUUGCCCAGACUGCUUUUCUGUGUAAAGUGAAAGUUUGGGGGGCUGUUGUGUUGGGCUCUGGGUCCCCACCAGCCAGGCUGAACCCCAACGGCAUCACCCAUGUACAAGUGCCUUCUCACCAAGCUGAAAGGUUUGCCUGAUCUUCCUGAGAAGCCACAUUUCCCAAGAGGAGCAGCGUCGACUGGCGAAGUGAUAGAAAAGUCACCUUUUAUGUCACUGUGAUGGCUCAAGGGGGUCACACCCGGGUCUUCCUCCCUGUGAUUUUUCCCUCCAUGGUGACUUCUGUGAUGACUUAGCUAAUCUGAAAUCUCCUGUCCCCAAGCUCUUCCCCAGAUGGCUUCUGCUUUCUGUUGGAGGUAAAGAAACUCACAAGCUCUGGAAGGCAGAAGUGAAAGAGCAGCUGUUCUCUGCGGUCACGCUGGAACCACACCCCACACCCCACCAGGAGAGGCUCUCUGUGCCGGCCACCAUGUGUGGGGCCUCACACAUGAAAACUGGAAGAGCCCAAGAGGCCAGCAGCUGCCCCUGCAUGCCCGAGGCUUCCGUUUCCCCGGAUUUCAGAGGUCGAGGCCCAUUCCCAAGAGGAGGACCUGGCCUCUGCCUGAUGGCACCUGUGCCCGAGCUGCUCCAGGUGACCAGUGCCCUGGCUUCAGAGGCACUGUGGGUUUGAGAAACAGUCACACGCAGGCGGGCAUGGUGGGGACCUUCAGCUCUGCAUCCCCACCUCCACCUGGCAGCCACCUCCCGGCCUGGACCACGAGUUGCCCCCACCAGAGGGAAGGGGCGUGUCAGCUUGGCAGGCAUCUUCUGGCCCGUGCUCCCGGUCAGGGCUUGCCCCACAGGCCCGCUCCCUCUGGC
rnacentral:lncRNA from 1 species